rnacentral:rRNA from 1 species
GACGGAGGAUGCAAGCGUUAUCCGGAAUGAUUGGGCGUAAAGCGUCCGCAGGUGGCAGUUCAAGUCUGCUGUCAAAGACCGGGGCUUAACUUCGGAAAGGCAGUGGAAACUGAACAGCUAGAGUAUGGUAGGGGCAGAGGGAAUUCCUGGUGUAGCGGUGAAAUGCGUAGAGAUCAGGAAGAACAUCGGUGGCGAAGGCGGUUCUCUGGGCAUCUCCUGACGCUGAGGCGCGAAAGCGUGGGGAGCAAACGGG